AAGGGGGUAUGGCGGAAUUGGUAGACGCUACGGAC
rnacentral:tRNA from 1 species